GCGAAGGUGGCGGAAUUGGUAGACGCGCUAGCUUCAGGUGUUAGUGUCCUUACGGACGGGGGGGUUCAAGUCCCCCCCCUCGCACCA
rnacentral:tRNA from 1 species